CUAACGGUAGAGGGGGCAACCCCUCGAGAGUGGCGAACGGGUGAGUAAUAUAUCGGAACGUGCCCAGUCGUGGGGGACAACGUAGCGAAAGUUACGCUAAUACCGCAUACGAUCUAAGGAUGAAAGCGGGGGACUCGCAAGAGCCUCGCGCGAUUGGAGCGGCCGAUAUCAGAUUAGGUAGUUGGUGGGGUAAAGGCUCACCAAGCCAACGAUCUGUAGCUGGUCUGAGAGGACGACCAGCCACACUGGAACUGAGACACGGUCCAGACUCCUACGGGAGGCAGCAGUGGGGAAUUUUGGACAAUGGACGCAAGUCUGAUCCAGCCAUUCCGCGUGCAGGAUGAAGGCCCUCGGGUUGUAAACUGCUUUUGUACAGAACGAAAAGGUCUCUCCUAAUACGAGAGGCUCAUGACGGUACUGUAAGAAUAAGCACCGGCUAACUACGUGCCAGCAGCCGCGGUAAUACGUAGGGUGCAAGCGUUAAUCGGAAUUACUGGGCGUAAAGCGUGCGCAGGCGGUUAUAUAAGACAGAUGUGAAAUCCCCGGGCUCAACCUGGGAACUGCAUUUGUGACUGUAUAGCUAGAGUACGGUAGAGGGGGAUGGAAUUCCGCGUGUAGCAGUGAAAUGCGUAGAUAUGCGGAGGAACACCGAUGGCGAAGGCAAUCCCCUGGACCUGUACUGACGCUCAUGCACGAAAGCGUGGGGAGCAAACAGGAUUAGAUACCCUGGUAGUCCACGCCCUAAACGAUGUCAACUGGUUGUUGGGUCUUAACUGACUCAGUAACGAAGCUAACGCGUGA
rnacentral:rRNA from 1 species